rfam:Rheinheimera sp. F8 genome.
GCGGAAAUGGCGAAAUUGGUAGACGCACUGGAUUUAGGUUCCAGCGCCGCGAGGCGUGAGAGUUCGAGUCUCUCUUUCCGCA